CUCAUCUUGUUACACAGUUGAGUAACCUGGCUGAGAUGCCCUCUACAGUUCCAUGGCUCUCCUCAUGUUGAGCAGGGCUCUCUAUGCUUCAGAGGCUCUGGGUCUCCUGGGACAUGAUCCUACCAUUUCCUGAAGUCUGGGCACCUUACCCCUUUCUGCAGUGUGCAUACAAUUCCCAAGCCUCAGUGCAGUGCAGCACUGUGACCCAGAGCCUAGGCAGGAGCCUGACAGAAAGAAGCCUGCAGGAUGCUCAGACGUUCAUUCAGAUGUGCGAGACGGUGCAGCCAGUGACCACGGUGCAUCCUUCCUGGAGGUUAACAGCCACUUUUUCCAUGUGACUGUGGGUGUGGAACAGGGCCAGACUGUGCUCACAGUAUCAUCUGUUUGGCCACAGUGCAGCCAUCUGGAAGCUUGAAUGCUGUGACUGUUCUGAAGGCUCUCAUAACUGGACCAGCCUCCUUCCUGAACUCCUCAGUGAGGGCAUUACUCAGGCCUCAGGAGCAGCAAGGAUCCCAGGCUGUCUUAUCCUGUCUGGGGCUGCAAUGGGGUCUUCCACAGGCUUGUUUUUUGUUUGUUUAUUUUUUUUUCAAUUAACAGCUAUUUACAAAUCAAAAUUAUGUGGCAUACAUAAUCAAGAUGUUGCUAAUUCAAAUCAGAGUUAGAAUUUGCAGUGAAAGUGCCCAUACAUACAUGGAACCCUUCUGCAGGUUCUAUUUCUCAUUAGUAAAAUUGUUUAUUAAACUCAGGGAGAAGAGGUGUUUACAGAGAGUGAAGGUACCUUCUAGCAGGGCAAAACUGUGGAUGCACAGAGUUUUAGAGUCCAUCUCCAAACCAUUUGUAGUGACUCAGGGCAGGCAUAUAAAAAGUUCUGGAAGCUGGAUUCCCAAACAGCUUUUUAUGAUUGUUUAGACUAGCUUGACAAUUCUAACUUUAUCACCUCUACAAAUUAAAAGUUUUGUGUCUUAA